AUUCCUUGUAUUCUGUCAUCACGUAUAAAAGGUGUUCUUGUGAGCUUAAUAUCUGCCAUAGUCUGAAUCACAGAAUUAGAAUAUUAAAAUCAUUUUUGGCUCAUGAUGGAGUUCUAGGAGCAUGUUCUACGUUUGUCACAGAAUGCUUUCUCAUUUUCGAUCUCUGUUAAUCUAGUCAAAUAACA